UGGGGAAUAUUGGACAAUGGGCGAAAGCCUGAUCCAGCCAUGCCGCGUGAGUGACGAAGGCCUUAGGGUUGUAAAACUCUUUCGUCGGGGACGAUAAUGACGGUACCCGAAGAAGAAGCUCCGGCUAACUUCGUGCCAGCAGCCGCGGUAAUACGAAGGGAGCUAGCGUUGUUCGGAAUCACUGGGCGUAAAGCGCACGUAGGCGGAUAGUUAAGUCAGGGGUGAAAUCCUGGGGCUCAACCCCAGAACUGCCUUUGAUACUGGCUGUCUCGAGGUUGAGAGAGGUUGGUGGAAUUCCUAGUGUAGAGGUGAAAUUCGUAGAUAUUAGGAAGAACACCAGUGGCGAAGGCGGCCAACUGGCUCGAUACUGACGCUGAGGUGCGAAAGCGUGGGGAGCAAACAGGAUUAGAUACCCACGUAGUCCCUGAGCGGGCUGGCAAGGCGCAU
rnacentral:rRNA from 1 species